GCGAACGCUGGCGGCAUGCCUAACACAUGCAAGUCGCGCGGGGGGCUUCGGCCCCCAGCGGCGGACGGGUGAGCAGCGCGUAGGAACGUGCCCAGGGGUGGGGACCAACCCCGGGAAACUGGGGCUAAUGCCGCAUGGGGCCUUCGGGCCAAAGCCGGGGCGACCCGGCGCCCCUGGAGCGGCCUGCGUCCGAUUAGGUAGUUGGCGGGGUAACGGCCCACCAAGCCCGCGAUCGGUAGCCGGUCUGAGAGGACGAUCGGCCACACUGGGACUGAGACACGGCCCAGACUCCUACGGGAGGCAGCAGUGGGGAAUAUUGGACAAUGGGCGCAAGCCUGAUCCAGCAAUGCCGCGUGGGUGAAGAAGGUCCUCGGAUUGUAAAGCCCUUUCGGCGGGGACGAUGGUGACGGUACCCGCAGAAGAAGCCCCGGCCAACUUCGU
rnacentral:rRNA from 1 species